rnacentral:rRNA from 1 species
GACGAACGCUGGCGGCGUGCCUAAUACAUGCAAGUCGAACGCUUCUUUCCUCCCGAGUGCUUGCACUCAAUUGGAAAGAGGAGUGGCGGACGGGUGAGUAACACGUGGGUAACCUACCCAUCAGAGGGGGAUAACACUUGGAAACAGGUGCUAAUACCGCAUAACAGUUUAUGCCGCAUGGCAUAAGAGUGAAAGGCGCUUUCGGGUGUCGCUGAUGGAUGGACCCGCGGUGCAUUAGCUAGUUGGUGAGGUAACGGCUCACCAAGGCCACGAUGCAUAGCCGACCUGAGAGGGUGAUCGGCCACACUGGGACUGAGACACGGCCCAGACUCCUACGGGAGGCAGCAGUAGGGAAUCUUCGGCAAUGGACGAAAGUCUGACCGAGCAACGCCGCGUGAGUGAAGAAGGUUUUCGGAUCGUAAAACCCUGUUGUUAGAGAAGAACAAGGACGUUAGUAACUGAACGUCCCCUGACGGUAUCUAACCAGAAAGCCACGGCUAACUACGUG